GUCUAUGGACAUGCCACCCUGAACGAGCCCGAUCCCGUCUGAUCGCAGAAGCUAAGCAGGGUCGGGCCUAGUUAAUACUUGGAUGGGAGACCACCUAGGAAGACCUGGUGCUGUAGGCA
rnacentral:rRNA from 1 species